rnacentral:rRNA from 1 species
UACAGAGGUCCCAAGCGUUGUUCGGAUUCAUUGGGCGUAAAGGGUGCGUAGGCGGCUUUCUAAGUCGGAUGUGAAAACUCUGGGCUCAACCCAGAGCCUGCAUCUGAAACUGGAGAGCUAGGGUUUGGAGGGGAAAGCGGAAUUCCAGGUGUAGCGGUGAAAUGCGUAGAUAUCUGGAGGAACACCGGUGGCGAAGGCGGCUUCUGGACAAAUACCGACGCUGAGGCACGAAAGCUAGGGGAGCAAACAGG